CCCUUAGAGUUUGAUCCUGGCUCAGGAUCAACGCUGGCGGCGUGCCUAACGCAUGUAAGUCGCACGCACGUCCUUCGGGAUGUGAGUGGCGAACGGCUGAGGAACACGUACGAACCUGCCCGACCGUGGGGAAUAACGCGCGGAAACGCGUGCUAAUACCGCGUACGCUGGAGUAAUCCAGGAAAGCCGCAAGGCGCGGACGGAGGGGCGUGCGGCCCAUCAGGUAGUUGGCGGGGUAAUGGCCCACCAAGCCGGUGACGGGUUGCUGGUCUGUGAGGAUGAUCAGCCAGACUGGGACUGAGAAACGGCCCAGACACCUACGGGUGGCAGCAGCGAGGAAUCUUCCACAAUGGGCGCAAGCCCGAUGGAGCAACGCCGCGUGGAGGACGACGGCCUUCGGGUUGUAAACUCCUUUCGGGGGGGAUGAAACGGACAGUACCCCCAGAAGCAGCCCCGGCUAACUCUGUGCCAGCAGCCGCGGUAAUACAGAGGGGGCAAGCGUUGUCCGGAAUUACUGGGCGUACAGCGCGCGCAGGCGGUUGCCAACGUGCCGUGUGACAAACGGGGGCUCAACCCCCGAGGGCCACGGUACACGGGGUGACUGGAGGUAGGGAGAGGGAUGUGGAAUGCCCGGUGGAGCGGUGAAAUGCGUAGAGAUCGGGCGGAACACCAGCGGCGAGGCGGCAUCCUGGCCCUAUCCUGACGCUGAGUGCGAAAGCGUGGGGAGCAAACAGAUU
rnacentral:rRNA from 1 species